rnacentral:misc_RNA from 1 species
GCUUGUAGAAUUGUUAAUCAAAAUACUGAGUCUGUAGGAGUAUUGUAAAAGAGUGGUACGAGCUAUUUUUUUUUGCUGUGGAAGGAAAGAAGCCUACUGUUUACAUUUAAAUUUUAUUUUUAUUUUUUCUAUUAUUAUUAUUUUUUGAAAAUGUUUGUACAGUCUUAUGGAGUUAAGGGUACUACUCUUUCAUCGUUCUGGUCUCUAGAGGAGGCAAAUGCCGCUCAUUUGUGGUGACCACUUUGUCGAACUUGUCAGAUCAAAAUAUUUAUCUCAUUUACCGGCCUCGUGGAUUUACAGUCCGCCGAUUGAUUGCCGAAGCUUAUACUAAUU